rnacentral:rRNA from 1 species
GGGUUGUGAGGUUAAGCGACUAAGCGUACACGGUGGAUGCCCUGGCAGUCAGAGGCGAUGAAGGACGUGCUAAUCUGCGAUAAGCGUCGGUAAGGUGAUAUGAACCGUUAUAACCGGCGAUUUCCGAAUGGGGAAACCCAGUGUGUUUCGACACACUAUCAUUAACUGAAUCCAUAGGUUAAUGAGGCGAACCGGGGGAACUGAAACAUCUAAGUACCCCGAGGAAAAGAAAUCAACCGAGAUUCCCCCAGUAGCGGCGAGCGAACGGGGAGCAGCCCAGAGCCUGAAUCAGUGUGUGUGUUAGUGGAAGCGUCUGGAAAGGCGCGCGAUACAGGGUGACAGCCCCGUACACAAAAAUGCACAUGCUGUGAGCUCGAUGAGUAGGGCGGGACACGUGGUAUCCUGUCUGAAUAUGGGGGGACCAUCCUCCAAGGCUAAAUACUCCUGACUGACCGAUAGUGAACCAGUACCGUGAGGGAAAGGCGAAAAGAACCCCGGCGAGGGGAGUGAAAAAGAACCUGAAACCGUGU